ensembl:lncRNA
CAGAAAAGCACAUAGAGAAGUGAGGCUGUUUGCCCAAGUUGGGUGCUAUGACAUGAGGUGAUGGGAUGGUGGUUUUUAAGCAAAUCUGUUGUUGGGUGAAUACAUUUUGUUCUUCUUGCCAGUGGAAGAAUUUGCUGCCACAUUUGUGGAGAUGCAGUGUGUGUGAUUAGAAGUACACCCAGAAUAAGCUAGAUAAGCAGCAUUCUCGCACACCUCCUUAUCCUCUAAGUCAUCCUCUACGGAGGAUUAAGUAUGUAAGAUAAGCAUUAAAGCUUUAAUAGCAAACAAACUGCUUUCUUUGUCUAAUGGUGCAUCUCUUGUAUCUCCAUGAUGCGGACAGUCUUCAGCCUGGUCCUCUUCAGCUCUCUUUUUGUCAUCAAAAGUAAGUCAGCUCUCUUCUUCCUUUGUUCUUUAUUCCUUAUUUCCUAUUUCAGACGCGGCUGAGCUUCUCUGCUGUUCUGGGCUUUCCUCUUGACUUGGUUGGUUUUCAGAGUGUUUUGUGUGUGUGGUUAGCAGCACAGCAUUGCACUUCUGGUAUGUAAUGGAAACAUUGAGAUGUUUGCAAAGAAAUGUAAGUGCGUUAUCUCUGUGGAUGGCAAGUGUGCCUCGUGCUCUGCACAUCUCACCAAGGACGUUGUAAAGAAGCUGCAAGUUCGUGCUUGUGUUUGAAAAUUCUGUGUAGUUUCAACCAAAGAUAAACUUUGGGGAUAAGGAGAAUUAGAUUAUAGCUGUCAUGUUUAAACAGAAGCAAAAAUUGUAAGAUGUGUUGUUUGGUCUUCCAGUGGAGCUGAUACUUUAGAAGACUAAGUAUGGAUGAUAGUACUACUUCAGGUGUUCACAGUGUACUUUCACAUGGUGCUGUGGACCAAAGACCACAAUGGAGGGGGGAAACCAUCAUGCUCCAGCUUGUUCUCCAACUGUUACAAGAAGGUGUGGAUGCAGUCAGCAUCAGAUAUUCACCAUCCCUGGAGGUGUUCAAGGGACGUUUAGAUAUUGUACCGAUGGAUGUGGUUAGUGGGGAAUGAUGGUAUAGGUGGAUGGUUGGACUGGGUGAUCAUGGAGGUCUUUUCCAGCCUUGGUGAUUCUGUGAUAUUCUUGAGUUCUGCUCAGUGCAAUUGUAGCAAUCAGAUAACACGGGUCUCAUUGUUUUUAAUCUUUAAAGUCAGUUAUCUGGGCCCCUUUAAAAGAGAGAAAUUGAUAGGAUUUGCAAAAUAUUUAGAUAUUCAUGAUCUUUUAGCAACUUUUGCAUGUGCUUCAAGCAAAGUCAUAAAGACUGCAUAGAUGGGAUUAUUAUUUUUUGCAAACUCUAACCCACCGCUAUUACAAGAGAUCUUCUCUCUCCUAAUGACAGGUGAAGCACUGCAAUGUUACACCUGUGUAGGUUCUAGCGAUGAUGACUGCAACAGGCAAGGGACGCAGCAGUGCCCGGGGCAUUCCGAUGCGUGUGCGGUCAUGCGAGGACAAGCAAGUGGUGUGAUGAAGUCCUGCUCGUUCCGCUCCUUCUGUGAGAGGGCAAUGAGGGAUGGAGCUAGAGCACCCGGGGUGAGCGUCCACUGCUGCUACUCCAGCCACUGCAACGCCAAGAGCCGGGGCGCAAGGCUCAGCCCCUGCAGCGGCUGCUUCGUCCUCCUCCUCUUGUCCCUGUGUUGGCACCCCCUGUUGAAGCUGACAUGAGGAGGAACAGGAUCCUGAAACUGCCUUUAUAGAAAGGGAUGGUUGUAAUUACACUUCCUGUAUCACGUUACUCCACGUACUGCGUUUCUCAGUAGGAAGAAGCUGUAGGCAGACUUAGCUGCAGGUAGCAGCCUUGUAGUUAAGGUAAGGAGUGAUGUGCUCCAGCUGCUUUUGCUGUCAGCAUGCACUCAAAAGCAAGCUACAAUUUUCAAGCACAAAGUGACCGAGAAUUCUAGCAUGCUUUUGAGUUGCUCAGAAAAUAUCUCCAGUCUGGACAAAGGCAGAAAACCUGACGUAAGAAUGGUUUAGUGUUGAUACAAAGUGCUAAGAGAAAGCUAUUAAGAGGAAAAAAAAAGUUCAGAAACACAUUGUGUUACAUAUAUUUAUAGGGAUAAAAGAACUUUCCCAGUCUCCUUUCUCCUGUGGGCAGCUGUUAACAGUCGUGAUGCCCAACCUGGGCCAUAAUGGUGUAACACAACGUGGUCACAUUGAGCUGCUGUUGGGUCGGUGAUGCUGGGAAGGAGCUGGCAGGGCAGAGGUGGUUCGUAGCACAGUGACACGUAGGCAGGCAGUUGAUCUGUGUAGAUGUCAGCAUCCAGCUAUACUGACCAGGUCUAAUCUCCAGCACACAGCGGCUUUCAGCCUGGCUGGUGUCACUUCAGUAGAGGUGGUCUUCCAGUGAGGAGUUCUGAUCUUCAUUGCCUGUUUGGAAUUCAAGCAAGUUUAUGGAACUCACAAACUAUGUGGCAAAGUAGAUGUUCCACUAGCUCUGUGUUGUGACCUUGUUUCUAAGUAUUGUUUUUGCAAGAUCAGUACUAGGCAGCAUGUUGUAGGAUCCUGCACAUCUUCCAAAAUUUGGCCAAGGUUCUUCUUGAGAGCUUCUUCAAGUGAAGUCAAUGAAAGCUCAGGGCACUGUGCUCUUACCCCACCCUACAGCUGCACUGUCUCCUUGUUUUGUUGCACUCCCUCCGGAUGGAUCCUUCCAUUGUCUUCUGUAGGUUGUGGGGUCGGACUGGGGCCGUUCCUUCGGGGUUUUGCUAGAAGGAGCUCUCAGACCCAGGGGUUCUGCUCUGUGGUUGUUGUUAUCACAAGGCUGAUACAGCUGUUUAAAAAAAAAAAGAUGGCUGUACUGCGACACCAUGGCUGAGAAUAUUAAUUUAGGCUUAAAUAUCUCAUAUGUGUAACAAAUCACUUGAGCUGAUAAGAAUUCUUCAUUUCAUUCUCAGCUUGAAUCAGCUCCUUCAAUCUGUUCUGCUACACAAAAUAUGUAUUCAUGGCACCUUUAUUUUCUGAUUGCUCUGUAAUGAUAAAACUCUCUCGAAUGCAACCUCUGUAAUGCUCCGUGCAUUUCCUUAAUGACAAAUUAAAAUAUAUGCAAUGUCUGA